rnacentral:rRNA from 1 species
GACGAACGCUGGCGGCGUGCUUAACACAUGCAAGUCGAACGGAAAGGCCCUGCUUUUGUGGGGUGCUCGAGUGGCGAACGGGUGAGUAACACGUGAGUAACCUGCCCUUGACUUUGGGAUAACUUCAGGAAACUGGGGCUAAUACCGGAUAGGAGCUCCUGCUGCAUGGUGGGGGUUGGAAAGUUUCGGCGGUUGGGGAUGGACUCGCGGCUUAUCAGCUUGUUGGUGGGGUAGUGGCUUACCAAGGCUUUGACGGGUAGCCGGCCUGAGAGGGUGACCGGCCACAUUGGGACUGAGAUACGGCCCAGACUUCUACGGGAGGCAGCAGUGGGGAAUACUGCACAAUGGGCGGAAGCCUGAUGCAGCAACGCCGCGUGCGGGAUGACGGCCUUCGGGUUGUAAACCGCUUUCGCCUGUGACGAAGCGUGAGUGACGGUAAUGGGUAAAGAAGCACCGGCUAACUACGUG